UGUUAACCAUCUAUUAUUUAUUUAUACAAUAUAUUUUUGUUAUCUGUGUUAAAGAAAAUGUAAGUUGUGUUCUAUUGGAAUAGGAGAAGUUUGGUACGCUUCUUUGUGGUGUUUUGUUUCACCCACUACCUGUGAACAUGGUCGGCCUGGCGGGUUGUCUAAGCCGGCCCACCAAUGUACUGUGGGUUGUUGUGUUGGGUGGUCCUCUGUGCUACAGACGGAGAAUGUAGGGACGCCCUGGACCUCAUGUCGGUUGGUGUGUUGGUUGGUCCUCCGUGCUACAGACAGAGUUGUGAGGACGCCCUGGACUGGAUGAUAGUUGGGGUGACAUGUCAGGUGUGCUACGGGGAUUCGAAGAGCGUCAGUGUGGGCCACUGAAGUGAGUACAUUAUGGGAAUUUAUUGAGUAUUAUGAGUGAUAUACAAGUGAAGUUUAGUUGGAUUUUGUAUACUGAUUGUUGCUUUAUUUUUAUAUUUGGGAUAUGAUUGUAACGGAUGUCAGAAUCUCUACAUGAAGUGUUAUUUUCUUGGUACCAUUGUGAGGGAUUGAACUGGGUGUACUAUGAUAUGUGGAUGUGUAUUGAUUUGCCCAU